rnacentral:rRNA from 1 species
UACGUAGGUGGCAAGCGUUGUCCGGAAUUAUUGGGCGUAAAGCGCGCGCAGGCGGUCCUUUAAGUCUGAUGUGAAAGCCCACGGCUCAACCGUGGAGGGUCAUUGGAAACUGGGGGGACUUGAGUGCAGGAGAGAAGAGUGGAAUUCCACGUGUAGCGGUGAAAUGCGUAGAGAUGUGGAGGAACACCAGUGGCGAAGGCGACUCUUUGGCCUGUAACUGACGUGAGGCGCGAAAGCGUGGGGAGCAAACAGG